GCGGCGCAGCAUGGAGCAGGCGGGGCACGUGGCGCACGGAUUUUAUUGGCGGCAGCUGCACUGCAGUUUAACUGCUGCAGUAUUUCUUCUUGUCCAGGUGGAGGUACAAGCAGGUGGCACCGUACCCAUCCUCCUGGCAAGGCCACCAUGGCUCGGCUUAAACAAGACCUUGUGGCUGUUUGUACCUGACCUCAGAGGAGGUAUGCUGGAAAUGAACUGUCCUUAGAAGACGUUUCCAUGCACGCAGCACACUUCAGCAGCUCAGACAGCAGUUUCUCCAUCACCAAAGCAGCACCCACUUAGGCUCUAUGGUUCUCUAUGCCAAGGCAUGAAGUGAGUUGGGAACUUUGACAUUAGAUUAAAAAAAAAAAAAAUUAAAGGUAAGUAAAAGGCUCAGGAGUCAGCCAGGAGCAAGUCCAAAAUACUUUGCUCGUUAUCGGACCUGAGAGGCCCUAACACUGUCGAGGCUGUGGAUUAGGCAUUGUUACGUACAUGAGAUAUUCCCUUGAGAAUAAGAGCCUCCAUUUAUUUCUACAGUAUGCAGCAAGCCUUCCAUUUUAACAGCAAGGGAAGAGGCAGAGCUCAUCUUUCCACAACAAUCUAAAAUACCAGAGCGCUUAUUCUGGAAACUUAACAGUUCAGCAUCCCUCGGCAAGUUCACAUGCAUCUUUCUGUAGGUGACGGUGACAGCAUCUUCCUCUUCAGAGUGGCUGAAACUGUCACGGUGCACACAGGAUCCAGUGUUGACAGACCCAUGGGACGCCUCCGUAAGCUGGACAUGCUGCUCAACAGCCAGAACCGUCCCCAUCUCUCACAAGCUCUCUGAGUCUCUGGGAUUCCCCACUCACGGAUUAACUAAGGCCAAACAGGUGCUGAGUUGCAGGCUCGAGAUUCCUAUGUCCUAACAGUGAGCACACUGAGCAAACAUUACAGGCUGAUGUAAAGGAGCCAGUGCUUCAGUUUACUUGGGAAAAAAACAUCUUGAUCUUAUGACACGGAUCAAGCUGCUGACUUUCCCUUCAAUAUCUGAGUGUUCUCUUUCUCCUUUGCUACUUUGGCCACCUUUACUCUUUUUAAAUAUUUUAUUUCUCUCUUCUUUUAUUGAUGAUCCUCGGGACUCUGCAGUUCCUUCUUCCCAAUUUCUCAGCGUAUGAUUUUUUAUGGAUGUUUCCAAGAAAACCUCUGAUAAACUGGCCUUGCUAAGUCAGAAAUCAAAAAUACUAUCAUAUCUGGGAUUUUGACAAGGGGACCACUCAGUGUGAGAAUGUGGUAAUUCAACAUAGAAUAUUUGGAGCAGAAACUACAGAAUAAGAUAACAGAUGACGGAAAGAAUGCUGAGUACAAAGGACACCUCCAGGAGACAAAAACUAGAGUCAAGUGAGAUGGGUGAUCGCUGCCUAAUAAAUACCCUGACUGGAGGCAGAGCGCAUGGCUAUGAGCAACUCAUGGCUAUUGCUUGAUAAGUACCUGUAUGCACAAGUAAGUAGUAGAGCAGGGAUGCCAUUGUGGAAUGUUUUGUUGACAUGUAAGUGGGGGUGGGAAAGUUACACGAGGAAGCUUGGAAAUCUAUAAAAGGGAUAUUUAUUAGGACCUGCAAUAAUGGAUUGUUCACAUCUGAGUCCAUGCCUUCAGACACUGCCAAUGGUGUCCCUGUGGGGCAGAAAUCAAGCCAAGGCUUAACAAGUCCUGUCCGGCAACAUCACCCGACUGAACCAUUGGAGGAUUAUUUUCCGCACCCAUCAUCAAUCUGCACGACAGAAGUUGAGCAGUCAGAAACACAGGGAAGUCACUAAUGUGAAGGAGCAAGAAGUAAACCGUGAAGUAUUAUAGAGGAUUUUGAAGUCUCAGAAUCGACCUGUAUCUACCUCAGCAUUAGUUACUUUUCUUGAUUUGGUAAGAAGAAAUGCCCAAGUUUCUGAUAACUGGUUCCUUCAAUGGGGCAGUUUGGGACAAAAUGGACACAGAACUCUGGGACAUUACCACUACUGCAGACAAGACUGCUGCUAAGCAUUUAACUCUGGAAGUACUCCAAUGCUUAAACUCUGUAAUAACAUAAUUGCAACAUCAAUACAGCCAUUGUGUUUAUCACUCCCGGUAUCUCUCAUAAUAAUAUCAAACUCUUAUCAACCAUACAGCUUGUUAUGUCUGUGGGAUACCUCAAGGAAAGAUCCUCUCAUCAUCCUCAAAUGGAUGUUCUUACCACAUACAUUUUCAAAAACCAUCACAAGUGGAGAUGUUUGCAGUGCUAAUAUGGUGAGGUCAACAUAGAAUUAUCAUAGGUUUGUGUCUGUAGCUGCUGUAAUUUGCCUUCUUGCCUGGUUAGAUAAUGUGAUGAUGAAGCCAUGAUGCAUUGCAGAUGGAGUAUUCUGUGACUUAAGGCAUGAAGAGUUCGUGCUUCUAUACAGGAAGAUCAUCUGCCUCAUGGGAAUGUGACACUGGAACAUAUUAUCUUGUGAAAACUCACCUUUAAUCAGGAAUUAAAAAAAAAAAAAAAAGAUCUAGAAGUGAAUUCCAUUGGAUGUGUCAGGAUUUCCAGGCAGUGAAUCUGUUAGUGAAUGAACAGUCUACAAACUUUGCGAGCUUCUGACCCUGAUUGCAUCCGUAUCUCCACUGCUAAAAAAGAUUUAGAUUGGAUGCUUGUGCAUUUGCUCACUUUACAAGCUGCUGUGGUUGACUACAUUGGACAAAUCUCCACUCAUCCCCCAAAACAUCAGUUACUGCAUAAUUUGAGUGAUAUGUCCCCUACUACAAACGUUUUGAUUUCACAUAUUCCAUUACCUGAUGUUGUUACUGUACUGAGAUGGCUCCGGCACGACACAACAAGCGGUGGUUCUCUAGCAUAUGACUGCUACAUGAUGGUUGUCAGAUGUGCGUAUUGUCUAUGGGUCACCUCAAAUUGUAGAAGUUGCUACAGUGGCUCAAGCUUUUCAAAUUUUUGCAAAACAAAAGCUUAAUAUAACAACUGACUCUUUGUAUGUUACAGGUACCCUUCAGUGGAUUGAAAGAUCUUUUCUUAAGUUAACAACCCUACCUUGUGUGCACAGCUCAAGUGUGUUUUGCAUUAUAUCUCUCACUGUACUCUUCUCCUUAUUUUAUUAUACAUAUUUGAUCACACACUGUUACCUGGUCUGUUAACUGCAGGCACCUGCAAGGCUGAUCAAGCCACAGUCGCCUUUGCUACCCCCUCAAUUAUUUCAACAAGAGUGACUCUCCCAUCCAUUUUUCCAUCAGAAUAGAAGAGCCUUACAAAAACAAUUCCAACUGACAGUAGAUCAGGCCUGUGACAUUAUUCUAACAUGCCCGGACUGCCAGGCAAUUGCCCCUUUGCCUCAAAUAGGAACAAAUCCCCAUGGCACAGCCCGUCUUCAAAUCUGGCAAUCAUAUGUCACUCAUGUUGAAGAAUUUGGCCAUCUAAAAUAUGUGCAUGUAACAGUAGGUACUUAUUCUUCUUACAUGUUUGCCACAGUGCAUACAGGCAAAUGCCAUCGCAGUGCCCAUAAAUACUGGUUAUCUGCUUAUGCGGCUAUGGGGAUCCCACAUACUAUAAAAACAGAUAAUGGCCCUGCAUAUAGUUCCAGGGACACUCAAAUUUUCCUUCAAGAAUGGGGGGUUACACAUGUUACAGGCAUUCUUCAUUCUCCCACCGGACAAGCUAUCAUUGAAUGUGCUCAUCAAACAUUGAAAUGUACUCUUAAUAAACAAAAAAGGGGGAAUACGGGAGACACACUGCAGGAGAUUAUGUAAAGCUUUGCUUGUACUGAAUUUUUUGAACCACAAUCAUACAGAUAGGUUGAGCAGACCGCCAUUUUGGGGCCUCCUCAGUGCUCAAGGAACGACUGAUGGUUAAUGUUCAGAAUAUGGCCACAGUGCAUUGAGAACAUCUCUUGCCAUUAAUACCUUGGAGUCAUAAAUAUGCUUGUGUUUCCACAGAGACUGGCCCUAGGUGGGUUCCAGAGCAAUACAUUCGGCUUCAUCUCAAGGCAGAGAAUAGCAUCCAGCCCUCAUAGCAACCAGGACUGUGUGUUUCUUACCUGUUGGUAUUGCUUUGCAAUUUGUUGUAUUGUGGAUGACUCAUAGGUGCCAUAGUGAGUGGUACAGAAUGUCUGGAUUACCCACUGGAUAGUAUCACAAUAACAACACUGGUAAUGGUAUGACAAAAGAGGGUGAUUUACCUGUGUUACUGAUGCAGCUCUUUUUGGUGUAAUUUCACCACCCCAGUAUCAGUAACACCCAGUUGUGAUGUUAUUAGCCUACCAGUUAACCUUUUCUUAAUUUGCGGAGACAGAUUCUGGAAGGAAUCCCAGGCAGAGCAAUGGAGGACCCUGUACUACAGAACAAUUAACUCUAUUUCAUCCACUGAUCAGGAUUUUAGAAAUACAACCAUGCAUCAUUCAAGAUGAAGGUGCAUGCUAUCUUACUUUGAUUCAAGAUGUGAUUCGAAUACAGAAUUCUGGAAUACCACCCAACAAAUUUUCUGUUUCACUGGUCCGUUCAGUUGGUACCUUUGUCAAGGACCUAAGGGCUCCUGACUGAAGAAUGAUCCUGGAAUGGAACAAAGUAUACUGACAGUUUUAAGGGAACUGAUAUUUGUGGCUGUAGCAGCAAUUAUCUUGUUUUGUAGAGAGAGCUGGCCUUGGUAGUUUAUCUUAUUUUUUGCAAAGACUUGUUUUGCAAGCAGGUGUUCCACUUGGGCUCUGUUUCAUGCACUAGCCACACAGAUAUCAUGUGCAAAUGGAAAAAACCCUGCAGAUGCUGGGGAAAAUAAAAACAGGAGAGACGCUGUGGUGGGUGAGAGAGGAAAAGUGCACUUUGAAGCAGGGGAUGCCCUGCUGACACUGCCUAUCAAAUCCACCACCAGCAUGUUCCUUCUCUCUCCUUUCCGGUGGUUCACCAUCUCUCAAGGGUUGGGGCAGCCAGCCAGAGGCAACACA